UACGUAGGGGGCAAGCGUUGUCCGGAAUCAUUGGGCGUAAAGAGCGUGUAGGCGGCCAGAAAAGUCCGCUGUGAAAACUCGAGGCUCAACUUCGAGCUGUCGGUGGAAACUUCUGGCUAGAGUCCGGAAGAGGAGAAUGGAAUUCCCGGUGUAGCGGUGAAAUGCGUAGAUAUUGGGAGGAACACCAGUGGCGAAGGCGGCUCACUGGACCGGAACUGACGCUGAGGCGCGAAAGCGUGGGGAGCAAACGGG
rnacentral:rRNA from 1 species